UGGGCUCUCGUGGAAACACGCAAUUUUGAAU
rnacentral:piRNA from 1 species